rnacentral:rRNA from 1 species
UACGAAGGGGGCUAGCGUUGUUCGGAAUCACUGGGCGUAAAGGGCGCGUAGGCGGCCUGAUAAGUCGGGGGUGAAAGCCUGUGGCUCAACCACAGAAUUGCCUUCGAUACUGUUAGGCUUGAGACCGGAAGAGGUAAGUGGAACUGCGAGUGUAGAGGUGAAAUUCGUAGAUAUUCGCAAGAACACCAGUGGCGAAGGCGGCUUACUGGUCCGGUUCUGACGCUGAGGCGCGAAAGCGUGGGGAGCGAACAGG